rnacentral:rRNA from 1 species
GAUGUUCGGUUAAGUCCGCUAACGAGCGCAACCCUCGUCGUAUGUUAUAUGUGUCAUACGAGACUGCCGGUAAAAGCCGGAGGAAGGUGAGGAUGAUGUCAAGUCAGCAUGACCUUUAUAUCCAGGGCUACACACACGCUACAAUGGUCUGUACAAUGGGUAGCCAAGCCGCGAGGCGGAGCCAAUCCUGAAAGCAGGCCUCAGUUCAGAUUGCAGUCUGCAACUCGACUGCAUGAAGCCGGAGUUGCUAGUAACCGCAGGUCAGCAAUACUGCGGUGAAUACGUUCCCGGGUCUU